UCUGGACCUGAUGGUCUGUUUAUACUGCCUCUGAACCUGAUGGUCUGUUUAUACUGCCUCUGAACCUGAUGGUCUGUUUAUACUGCCUCUGAACCUGAUGGUCUGUUUAUACUGCCUCUGUCAAUGCAGGGGACUUCCCAUUGGAUUGGUUCUGACAACAGUAGAAUGGAGGUUUGAUAACGUUAGUAUGGAGACAACAGUAGAAUGGAGGUUUGAUAACGUUAGUAUGGAGACAACAGUAGAAUGAAGGUUUGAUAACGUUAGUGUGGAGACAACAGUAGAAUGGAGGUUUGAUAACGUUAGUAUGGAGACAACAGUAGAAUGGAGGUUUGAUAACGUUAGUAUGGAGACAACAGUAGAAUGGAG
ensembl:lncRNA